rnacentral:rRNA from 1 species
GUGGUAAUGCCGGAUGCUCCAGUUGAUCGCAUGGUCUUCUGGGAAAGCUUUCGCGGUAUGGGAUGGGGUCGCGUCCUAUCAGCUUGACGGCGGGGUAACGGCCCACCGUGGCUUCGACGGGUAGCCGGCCUGAGAGGGCGACCGGCCACAUUGGGACUGAGAUACGGCCCAGACUCCUACGGGAGGCAGCAGUGGGGAAUAUUGCACAAUGGGCGAAAGCCUGAUGCAGCGACGCCGCGUGAGGGAUGGAGGCCUUCGGGUUGUAAACCUCUUUUAUCGGGGAGCAAGCGAGAGUGAGUUUACCCGUUGAAUAAGCACCGGCUAACUACGUGCCAGCAGCCGCGGUAAUACGUAGGGUGCAAGCGUUAUCCGGAAUUAUUGGGCGUAAAGGGCUCGUAGGCGGUUCGUCGCGUCCGGUGUGAAAGUCCAUCGCUUAACGGUGGAUCCGCGCCGGGUACGGGCGGGCUUGAGUGCGGUAGGGGAGACUGGAAUUCCCGGUGUAACGGUGGAAUGUGUAGAUAUCGG